rnacentral:lncRNA from 1 species
AUGACAGAUAAGGUUAUUCUGGGAACCCGUGCUUCUGUCUGCUGGACACCCCAGGUUCCCUGCGUCCCGUGCGCUCAGGAGACACUGUCCCUGCGGACACCCCAGGUUCCCUGGAGUCCCUGCUUUCAGGGGACACUGUCCCUGCGGACAUCCCAGGUUCUCUGCGUCCCAGGGGACACUGUCCCUGCGGACAUCCCAGGUUCUCUGCGUCCCGUGCGCUCAGGGGACACUGUCCCUGCGGACAUCCCAGGUUCUCUGCGUCCCGUGCGCUCAGGGGACACUGUCCCUGCGGACACCCGAGGUUCCCUGCGUCCCAGGGGACACUGUCCCUGCGGACAUCCCAGGUUCUCUGCGUCCCAUGCGCUCAGGGGACACUGUCCCUGCGGACAUCCCAGGUUCUCUGCGUCCCGUGCGCUCAGGGGACACUGUCCCUGCGGACAUCCCAGGUUCUCUGCGUCCCAUGCGCUCAGGGGACACUGUCCCUGCGGACAUCCCAGGUUCUCUGCGUCCCAUGCGCUCAGGGGACACUGUCCCUGCGGACAUCCCAGGCUCUCUGCGUCCCAGGGGACACUGUCCCUGCGGACAUCCCAGGUUCUCUGCGUCCCAUGCGCUCAGGGGACACUGUCCCUGCGGAUACCCGAGGUUCCCUGCGUCCCGUGCGCUCAGGGGACACUGUCCCUGCGGACAUCCCAGGUUCUCUGCGUCCCAUGCGCUCAGGGGACACUGUCCCUGCGGACAUCCCAGGUUCUCUGCGUCCCGUGCGCUCAGGGGACACUGUCCCUGCGGACAUCCCAGGUUCUCUGCGUCCCGUGCGCUCAGGGGACACUGUCCCUGUGGACAUCCCAGGUUCCCUUUCAGGGACACUGUCCCUGCGGACACCCGAGGUUCCCUGCGUCCCGUGCGCUCAGGAGACACUGUCCCUGCGGACACCCGAGGUUCCCUGCGUCCCGUGCGCUCACCCGAGGUUCCCUGCGUCCUGUGCGCUCAGGGGACACUGUCCCUGCCCCUCCCACCAACUGCUUCCUGGGGUAUCUUGGUCUUUGUGGGAUUUCCACUGAACAGAGGCCUUUCUGGAAUGUUUCCAAAUAA